GGAUUUAAGGUUUAGGGGUUAGAGGGUUAGGGGUUUAGGGAUUAAAAGUUAGGGAUUCAGGGGUCGAGUUAGGGUUUUGGGUUUAGAUUAAUUAUUUUUUAAUUUAUAUUUUAAAUAUGUUCUUAUAUAAUUGUAAAAGAGAUAAUAAUAAAUUUGUUUAGGGUUUUUAGUUUAGGGUAUAUGAUUAAUUUAAGAUUUAAAGCCGGUUUAGGAGUUCAUAUUUUAAGGUUUAGAGAGUAUGGAUUUAGGGAUUAUGAAUUAGGGAUUAUGGUUUAAGGGUUGGGAUUUAAGGUUUAGGGGUUAGGGGUUAGAUGUUAGGGGUUAAGAGUUAGGGAUUUAAGGUUUAGGGAUUCAUGGGUCGAGUUAAGGUUUUGAGUUUGGAUUAAUUAUUUUUUUAAUUUAUAUUUUAAAUAUGUUCUUAUAUAAUUGUAAAAUAGAUAAUAAUAAAUCCCAUAUAUUGAAAUUACGAGUAUAGUUUAAAUUAGUUAAGAGAUAUAUAAU
rnacentral:lncRNA from 1 species